rnacentral:rRNA from 1 species
CCUACGGGGGGCUGCAGUGAGGAAUAUUGGUCAAUGGACGAGGGCCUGAACCAGCCAAGUCGCGUGAAGGAUGACUGCCCUAUGGGUUGUAAACUUCUUUUAUAAAGGAAUAAAGCGAGGCACGUGUGCCGUUGUGCGUGUACUUUAUGAAUAAGGAUAGGCUAACUCCGUGCCAGCAGCCGCGGUAAUACGGAGGAUGCGAGCGUUAUCCGGAUUUAUUGGGUUUAAAGGGAGCGUAGAGGGGUUGUUAAGUCAGGUGUGAAAGUUUGGGGCUCAACCGCAAUAUGGCCAUUGAUACUGGCAGUCUUGAGUACAGGUGAGGUAGGCGGAAUUCGUGGUGUAGCGGUGAAAUGCUUAGAUAUCACGCAGAACCCCGAUUGCGAAGGCAGCUUACUAGACUGUGACUGACAUUGAUGCUCGAAAGUGUGGGUAUCAAACAGGAUUAGAUACCCUAGUAGUC